CCCGCAGCACCGCACUCUCUGAGCGCCGCCCGCCCCGACGGCAUGGCUCGCAGCCCGCGCUCCGGGCGCCCGCAACCUUGUUGAGAGCCGCCUCGGUCCCCGACCCGCGCGCGGGGCCCCGAGACGCCGGGAUGAGUCGCGCCGAGUGGUGAUCGCCGCUCGGGAAUGCGGGUGUGAAGGGUCCGAGCUGCCGCCCAGCGGGGAAGAGACCCCGGGACGCCGGAAAUCACCAUCCCAAAGCUGCGAGAAGGCGGUGGGGGGAAAGAGAGCAUUCUUUCAGUUUGUGUGCCUUGUGGGGAAUUUUUUUAAAAAAUCGU